AAUCCGAGAAUUUCACCUCCAACGCUUGAAUACUGAUGCCCCCGACUAUCCCUAUUAAUCAUUACGGCGGUCCUAGAAACCAACAAAAUAGAACCACACGUCCUAUUCUAUUAUUCCAUGCUAAUGUAUUCGAGCAAAGGCCUGCUUUGAACACUCUAAUUUUUUCAAAGUAAAAGUCCUGGUUCCCCAGCACGCCCAGUGAAGGGCAUGAGGUUCCCCAGAAGGAAAGGCCCGGCCGGACCAGUACACGCGGUGAGGCGGACCGGCCAGCCAGGCCCAAGGUUCAACUACGAGCUUUUUAACUGCAACAACUUUAAUAUACGCUAUUGGAGCUGGAAUUA
rnacentral:misc_RNA from 1 species